UACCCGAAGAACUCAGCGCAUCUUUCCCCUUUUCCCUUUUACUUCUCAUUCCCUCUUCAUAUCCCUUAAAAACCAGAGAAAACGGCAAUACCAGGGUUCCCCUUUUCUUCUUCUCCAUUCCUCAUCUUCAACAGACAUACAUGCCCUCAUGAUCUGAUUUUUGCGCAUAAUUUUAGAGAACAGCUAAAAUCGGCGAAAUCGAAAAAAAAGGAUUUGAAAGCUAUGGUUAAACUUCUACUCACUUGUUCUAUUUUUCUGAAAAUUCAAGUGCAAACAAGUUUGGGAAAGAGCUUAUGAAGCUAGGAGUAGGGGCUGAUCUCGUCGAUGAUUUCACUGCUGUCCAUGUAGCUGAUUUCCAACAUAGCAUCGGUUCUUUCAGCCUUUGUCCUGGCAUUUAUUUUCGAUUUUUAUUUGUGUUUCAGGAUAUGACUUGCUAGUAAGUGAGUCUCAACUGUGAGGGAGGAGGCAAGAAGUAUGCUUUGGUGGAUCAGGGUUUUCAAUUCCUAUUCAUGUGCAAUUACCUCACACUUGGAUAAUGCUAUUAGUGUAUUUCAAACUUCUUAUUUGAUUUUUCAUACUUAGUGGGUUACCUUCAAUUAUUUUAUUUUUCUUGUUCGUUUUAAAUCUAUUUAGCAACUGGACCUCAUAUUUGUGUUAGUAAGGGAUAUUUUUGGUAUAUAAGUACUAACUUGAAAGUUGGGUUUUAA